UAGUCCACGCCGUAAACGAUGAGUGCUAGCUGUUGGGACCUUAGGUUUCAGUGGCGCCGCUAACGCAUUAAGCACUCCGCCUGGGGAGUACGGUCGCAAGAUUAAAACUCAAAGGAAUUGACGGGGACCCGCACAAGCGGUGGAGCAUGUGGUUUAAUUCGAGGCAACGCGAAGAACCUUACCAGACCUUGACAUGCCUCUUUUGGAUUUCAGAGAUGAUUUCCUUCGGUUCGGCCGGGGAGUGCACAGGUGCUGCAUGGCUGUCGUCAGCUCGUGUCGUGAGAUGUUGGGUUAAGUCCCGCAACGAGCGCAACCCUCAUUUUUAGUUGCCAGCAUUCAGUUGGGCACUCUAGAAAAACUGCCGGAGUUAAUCCGGAGGAAGGUGGGGAUGACGUCAAGUCUUCAUGGCCCUUAUGGUCUGGGCUACACACGUGCUACAAUGGCAGUGACAAAGAGCAGCGAUCCCGCGAGGGUUAGCUAAUCUCCAAACACUGUCUCAGUUCGG
rnacentral:rRNA from 1 species